rnacentral:rRNA from 1 species
AACGAACGCUGGCAGCGUGGAUUAGGCAUGCAAGUCGAACGGAAAUUUCCGGUGUAGCAAUACAUCGGGAAGGAUAGUGGCGAAAGGGCGAGUAAUACGUAGGUAACCUGCCUCGAAGCUGGGGAUAACUUGCCGAAAGGCGAGCUAAUACCGAAUGUGGUUGUUCUUCGCAUGAAGGACGGACUAAACGACGGGGAUUCUUCGGAACCUGUCGCUUUGAGAGGGGCCUGCGUGCCAUCAGCUAGUUGGUGAGGUAACGGCUCACCAAGGCUUACGGCUAGGUGGUCUGAGAGGAUGGUCACCCGCACUGGGACUGAGACACUGCCCAGACUCCUACGGGUGGCAG